UACGUAGGGUGCGAGCGUUAAUCGGAAUUACUGGGCGUAAAGCGUGCGCAGGCGGUGCUGUAAGACAGGCGUGAAAUCCCCGGGCUUAACCUGGGAAUGGCGCUUGUGACUGCAGUGCUGGAGUGCGGCAGAGGGGGAUGGAAUUCCGCGUGUAGCAGUGAAAUGCGUAGAUAUGCGGAGGAACACCGAUGGCGAAGGCAAUCCCCUGGGCCUGUACUGACGCUCAUGCACGAAAGCGUGGGGAGCAAACAGG
rnacentral:rRNA from 1 species